rnacentral:tRNA from 1 species
GGGCUAUAGCUCAGCUGGGAGAGCGCCUGCUUUGCACGCAGGAGGUCUGCGGUUCGAUCCCGCAUAGCUCCACCAUAA